rnacentral:lncRNA from 1 species
CAGCUCUCUACAUUUCUUAUCUCCACUAUAAAUGCCCCCAGGUUCCACGGAUUUCCUGAGGACUGCCUUGCCAAGGUCAUGAAACUCGAUCACACUCCACUAAACUUGAGAUCCCCAAAGUCAAGGAUUUAUCUCUUGGAGCUGUCUCCCUGAUUCCUUGUUCCAGGUGCACAAGUGUUUGUGGGAUGCAGAGGAAGAGACUGGAUGAGAACUACCGAGUUCACAGCUCACAUCCCUGAAGGAUGGGGCCUGAGUAGCUGGACACUUCAGAAUGAGUGACAGCCUAAGACGUGAGAAGAAGCACUUCUGUGCCUUUCCAGCCUUCGGUCCUACCCACAUCUUCCCCCAAGGGUCCUGCCCCAUCCCAAGGAGGAGG